AAAUGUUAUAUUUUUUAACACUAAUAAAAAAUAAUCUCAUUUAAAAUUCAAAACUAAUCUAAUUAACUUUAUUUUAUAGACAACAAAUGAAUUACAUAUAAAGACAUAAAGUAUGAACUAUAUAAAAAUAGUAAAUUAAACAUACUAAAUAAUAUAAAAGAAUCCUUGAAAUAACUUCAUUCAUAUUUCAAUUCAAAACGAAACGUAUAAAAAUAAGUAGUACGGAUUUUACAAGAACCUGUUUGAUAAAUUAUAUCGAAUAAAGAAGUAUCGCCACCAAAAACUCAAACGGAAACCCGACUUCAACUCGACAAUCUUUUCUCCGCAUGUCUUUUUUUCUAGUUUUUCUUCUUUGAUUUUCUCUCUUUACUUUUCUCACUGUUCUCUUUUGUUUUGUUUAUUCUCCUUUUGUUUUCUCCCUUUUUCCUUUCCCUCAUUUUUUUAAGUGUUUAGUUUGUGUGUGUCAUGUGUAUGCUAAUGUUUUUUUUUUUGUUUUCUCUCCCCUCUUUUUUUUUUUGGUUUGUCC
rnacentral:lncRNA from 1 species